AAAAAGAAGAAAAUUAGGUCAAGGUCAGAGGUCAAGGUCAUAUUUCAAAUUUUGAUUUUGGCUUAUUUUCAUCUUUUUUCAAAAACCGUAAGAGAUAUCGACAACAUAUUUUUACUAAAUUGUAAGUUGCAACAUGUCGUAACACAUGAAUUUUGGUUGAAAGGAUUCGCCAACAUUAAAUUGGAGUUUUUUCCUCUCUUAUAUUAAAAAUUAGGCAUAUAGUGUUAUAACUCAUUAACCAUAUAUAAUUAAGACCUAUUGUCUUUUGAUUUGACGCCCUUGGUUUAUGACCUUGAAAUUGAACUCAAGGUCAUGGGUGAAAUUGACGUUCUAGAUUUUGACCUUUGGUUUUACCUCAUAUGUAUACAUGAUAAAGCCAUGGGACUUUCUGCAUUACGUUGCAAGACACUUGACCAUGGAAAAACCAACCGGAAGUGAUCCUGUGUAAACCGGAAGUAGCUAGUUUUUUUUGUACUUAUUUAAUGUAAAAGUAUAUUGAACAAUAUAUUUUUGGAAUCAGUAUCAAGUAAACUAUCAAAUAAUACUGGAAGUGACAUAUUUCAAACCGGAAGUAUCAAUUUAUCUCCCUCAUUUAAAAAAAAUGUAUAGAAACCAUAUAUUUUUGUAAUCAGUGUACAAUAAGCUAUCAUUUGACGAUGGAUAUGAUAUUUCAAACUGAAUUUUCAUAGUUCUAUAUCAAAAUUAAUCUCUAUCGGUGAAAAGACCUUCAAUUGUUCUC
rnacentral:lncRNA from 1 species